rnacentral:rRNA from 1 species
AUGCAGUCGAACGGUACAGGUCUUCGGAUGCUGACGAGUGGCGAACGGGUGAGUAAUACAUCGGAACGUGCCCGAUCGUGGGGGAUAACGGAGCGAAAGCUUUGCUAAUACCGCAUAAGAUCUACGGAUGAAAGCAGGGGACCGCAAGGCCUUGCGCGAACGGAGCGGCCGAUGGCAGAUUAGGUAGUUGGUGGGAUAAAAGCUUACCAAGCCGACGAUCUGUAGCUGGUCUGAGAGGACGACCAGCCACACUGGGACUGAGACACGGCCCAGACUCCUACGGGAGGCAGCAGUGGGGAAUUUUGGACGAUGGGCGAAAGCCUGAUCCAGCCAUGCCGCGUGCAGGAUGAAGGCCUUCGGGUUGUAAACUGCUUUUGUACGGAACGAAAAGACUCUGGUUAAUACCUGGGGUCCAUGACGGUACCGUAAGAAUAAGCACCGGCUAACUACGUGCCAGCAGCCGCGGUAAUACGUAGGGUGCAAGCGUUAAUCGGAAUUACUGGGCGUAAAGCGUGCGCAGGCGGUUAUAUAAGACAGAUGUGAAAUCCCCGGGCUCAACCUGGGAACUGCAUUUGUGACUGUAUAGCUAGAGUACGGCAGAGGGGGAUGGAAUUCCGCGUGUAGCAGUGAAAUGCGUAGAUAUGCGGAGGAACACCGAUGGCGAAGGCAAUCCCCUGGGCCUGCACUGACGCUCAUGCACGAAGCGGGGGAGCAACAGGAUAG